rnacentral:rRNA from 1 species
GAUGAACGCUGGCGGCGUGCCUAAUACAUGCAAGUCGAGCGAACAGACGAGGAGCUUGCUCCUCUGACGUUAGCGGCGGACGGGUGAGUAACACGUGGAUAACCUACCUAUAAGACUGGGAUAACUUCGGGAAACCGGAGCUAAUACCGGAUAAUAUAUUGAACCGCAUGGUUCAAUAGUGAAAGACGGUUUUGCUGUCACUUAUAGAUGGAUCCGCGCCGCAUUAGCUAGUUGGUAAGGUAACGGCUUACCAAGGCAACGAUGCGUAGCCGACCUGAGAGGGGAUGCGGCCCACUGGGAACGAGAAAGCGUUCCGACUCCCACGGGGGGGAAGAGGGGGGAAUUUUGCCGAAGGGGGGAAAACCUUGAGGGGCCAAGCCGCGGGUGGGAAGAAGGUCUUCGGAUUCGAAAACCCUUUUAAUUGGGAAAAAAAAAAGGUAUAAAAAACUAUGCCGGUUUGACGGGACCUAAAGAAGAAGGCCCGGGUAAAUUCGGG